UGUGAACAUACCACUUGUUGCCUCGGCGGAUCAGCCCGCUCCCGGUAAAACGGGACGGCCCGCCAGAGGACCCCUAAACUCUGUUUCUAUAUGUAACUUCUGAGUAAAACCAUAAAUAAAUCAAAACUUUCAACAACGGAUCUCUUGGUUCUGGCAUCGAUGAAGAACGCAGCAAAAUGCGAUAAGUAAUGUGAAUUGCAGAAUUCAGUGAAUCAUCGAAUCUUUGAACGCACAUUGCGCCCGCCAGUAUUCUGGCGGGCAUGCCUGUUCGAGCGUCAUUUCAACCCUCAAGCACAGCUUGGUGUUGGGACUCGCGUUAAUUCGCGUUCCCCAAAUUGAUUGGCGGUCACGUCGAGCUUCCAUAGCGUAGUAGUAAAACCCUCGUUACUGGUAAUCGUCGCGGCCACGCCGUUAAACCCCAACUUCUGAAUGUUGACCUCGGAUCAGGUAGGAAUACCCGCUGAACUUAAGCAUAUCAAUAAGUCGGAGGAAA
rnacentral:rRNA from 1 species